rnacentral:rRNA from 1 species
GAAAUAGAACCUGAAACCGUGUGCUUACAAGUAGUCAGAGCCCGUUAAUGGGUGAUGGCGUGCCUUUUGUAGAAUGAACCGGCGAGUUACGAUUUGAUGCAAGGUUAAGCAGUAAAUGUGGAGCCGUAGCGAAAGCGAGUCUGAAUAGGGCGUUUAGUAUUUGGUCGUAGACCCGAAACCAGGUGAUCUACCCUUGGUCAGGUUGAAGUUCAGGUAACACUGAAUGGAGGACCGAACCGACUUACGUUGAAAAGUGAGCGGAUGAACUGAGGGUAGCGGAGAAAUUCCAAUCGAACCUGGAGAUAGCUGGUUCUCUCCGAAAUAGCUUUAGGGCUAGCCUCAAGUGAUGAUUAUUGGAGGUAGAGCACUGUUUGGACGAGGGGCCCCUCUCGGGUUACCGAAUUCAGACAAACUCCGAAUGCCAAUUAAUUUAACUUGGGAGUCAGAACAUGGGUGAUAAGGUCCGUGUUCGAAAGGGAAACAGCCCAGACCACCAGCUAAGGUCCCAAAAUAUAUGUUAAGUGGAAAAGGAUGUGGCGUUGCCCAGACAACUAGGAUGUUGGCUUAGAAGCAGCCAUCAUUUAAAGAGUGCGUAAUAGCUCACUAGUCGAGUGACACUGCGCCGAAAAUGUACCGGGGCUAAACAUAUUACCGAAGCUGUGGAUUGUCCUUUGGACAAUGGUAGGAGAGCGUUCUAAGGGCGUUGAAGCAUGAUCGUAAGGACAUGUGGAGCGCUUAGAAGUGAGAAUGCCGGUGUGAGUAGCGAAAGACGGGUGAGAAUCCCGUCCACCGAUUGACUAAGGUUUCCAGAGGAAGGCUCGUCCGCUCUGGGUUAGUCGGGUCCUAAGCUGAGGCCGACAGGCGUAGGCGAUGGAUAACAGGUUGAUAUUCCUGUACCACCUAUAAUCGUUUUAAUCGAUGGGGGGACGCAGUAGGAUAGGCGAAGCGUGCGAUUGGAUUGCACGUCUAAGCAGUAAGGCUGAGUAUUAGGCAAAUCCGGUACUCGUUAAGGCUGAGCUGUGAUGGGGAGAAGACAUUGUGUCUUCGAGUCGUUGAUUUCACACUGCCGAGAAAAGCCUCUAGAUAGAAAAUAGGUGCCCGUACCGCAAACCGACACAGGUAGUCAAGAUGAGAAUUCUAAGGUGAGCGAGCGAACUCUCGUUAAGGAACUCGGCAAAAUGACCCCGUAACUUCGGGAGAAGGGGUGCUCUUUAGGGUUAACGCCCAGAAGAGCCGCAGUGAAUAGGCCCAAGCGACUGUUUAUCAAAAACACAGGUCUCUGCUAAACCGUAAGGUGAUGUAUAGGGGCUGACGCCUGCCCGGUGCUGGAAGGUUAAGAGGAGUGGUUAGCUUCUGCGAAGCUACGAAUCGAAGCCCCAGUAAACGGCGGCCGUAACUAUAACGGUCCUAAGGUAGCGAAAUUCCUUGUCGGGUAAGUUCCGACCCGCACGAAAGGCGUAACGAUUUGGGCACUGUCUCAACGAGAGACUCGGUGAAAUCAUAGUACCUGUGAAGAUGCAGGUUACCCGCGACAGGACGGAAAGACCCCGUGGAGCUUUACUGUAGCCUGAUAUUGAAAUUCGGCACAGCUUGUACAGGAUAGGUAGGAGCCUUUGAAACGUGAGCGCUAGCUUACGUGGAGGCGCUGGUGGGAUACUACCCUAGCUGUGUUGGCUUUCUAACCCGCACCACUUAUCGUGGUGGGAGACAGUGUCAGGCGGGCAGUUUGACUGGGGCGGUCGCCUCCUAAAAGGUAACGGAGGCGCUCAAAGGUUCCCUCAGAAUGGUUGGAAAUCAUUCAUAGAGUGUAAAGGCAUAAGGGAGCUUGACUGCGAGACCUACAAGUCGAGCAGGGUCGAAAGACGGACUUAGUGAUCCGGUGGUUCCGCAUGGAAGGGCCAUCGCUCAACGGAUAAAAGCUACCCCGGGGAUAACAGGCUUAUCUCCCCCAAGAGUUCACAUCGACGGGGAGGUUUGGCACCUCGAUGUCGGCUCAUCGCAUCCUGGGGCUGUAGUCGGUCCCAAGGGUUGGGCUGUUCGCCCAUUAAAGCGGUACGCGAGCUGGGUUCAGAACGUCGUG